CGUCUUAUAAUAAGAAGAAAUCUUUCUCGGUAUCAAUCCCCUUGCCCCUCAUUCUUUGAGAAUCAGAAGGAUCAUUUUCGAGUUUCCAUAGUAGUGGCCUUCGUUCGAAAGGUGAAAACAACCAGUCAAUACCUUAUUGAUUCAAAAGGGGUAGGACUACUUCCACAACUACAUUUUCGCUUAAGCAGGACAUGUGAGAUCUCGCGUACGUGCCCUUUAAGCCCAGUCAUUCCGAAGAACACUUGCCCCCCCACCCCGUCUUACCGCGGCCAAGAAUGUUUUUUUAAUCGGGACGAUAACUCUGAAAAGCAAGAUUUCCUAUCUUUUCUUUUAACUCAGGAACGCAUUUAA
rnacentral:rRNA from 1 species